AUUGAACGCUGGCGGCAUGCUUUACACAUGCAAGUCGAACGGCAGCGCGGGCUUCGGCCUGGCGGCGAGUGGCGAACGGGUGAGUAAUGCAUCGGAACGUGCCCAGUAGUGGGGGAUAGCCCGGCGAAAGCCGGAUUAAUACCGCAUACGACCUGAGGGUGAAAGCGGGGGACCGAAAGGCCUCGCGCUAUUGGAGCGGCCGAUGUCGGAUUAGCUAGUUGGUGGGGCAAAGGCUUACCAAGGCGACGAUCCGUAGCUGGUCUGAGAGGACGACCAGCCACACUGGGACUGAGACACGGCCCAGACUCCUACGGGAGGCAGCAGUGGGGAAUUUUGGACAAUGGGGGCAACCCUGAUCCAGCCAUGCCGCGUGCGGGAAGAAGGCCUUCGGGUUGUAAACCGCUUUUGUUCGGGAAGAAAUCCUCUGGGCUAAUACCCCGGGGGGAUGACGGUACCGGAAGAAUAAGCACCGGCUAACUACGUG
rnacentral:rRNA from 1 species